GAGCCUCUCUCCGAGACAGUGCCCAG
rnacentral:snRNA from 1 species